rnacentral:lncRNA from 1 species
GGACAUUGCAGAGUAAGGAAGGAGCAGGGAGCAGGGUAGAAAGUUCAGUGAGGUCAGGGUACGACUGGAAUAGUGGAGGGUGAAAGUAGGUUGGAGCCAGACCAUGGAAGGCUUUGAAUAGGAGCCUGAACUUGAAAUGAGGAGUUAUUAAACGUUUUUGAGUAGAAGUCAAGGAUCCAACCAAUCCUUGACUAAAACAUCCGAAAGUAUCACUGAAUCCAUCCUGACACCAAAUCACAAGUACACAAAGCACAUAAAGCAGAAACACUUAGAAAAUCAAUAGUCUUGAUAAAGAUGCAACAAAAUAGCCUAUUUACCUCUGAGGAAAGAGCAAAUGAAGGGAUAUAUGCCUGGAUCACUGGCUCAAACCCCCCCUGCCCUCUUUCUUCUGCAUUGGCCAAGAAUGGUCCCAUUCUCCUGAUGCAUGCAUAAGACUACCUCAUGAACAAAAAGACUUGGGGCAACAAAUACAACUCUCCUUCUUCCCCCACAAAGAAAAAAUUCCAGCAAAGAAAUGAAAAUUCCCUUCAUUUCCUCCCUUUCUUCAGAAGCCAGUUCGUGAAGAUUGCUUAACUCUCCUAUCACCUCAGGACACCAGACAAACAGCCUAGAAUGGGAACUGGAUCCUGAUGGCUUAAUUGAGUUAAAAGGAAAAGAGUAGAUCAUCUAAAAGCCUCUCAAUGGUUUCAAAGUGCCUCUCCCGUCUCUGAAAGCCCAGUGGCGGUUCUCAGUUCCUCAGUUAGGGAGGAGCUGAAUGAAUUUCCUAGCACAGAAUUCAAAAGCACUGGAAGUCAGCAGUUCUGAAAGACUGCAGAAAGGUCUUGUUUACAUUUUUCUCUUGGGCUGAAACCCAUCUAUUUAAACUUUAACCAGAGGCAAUUAUAAAACCGUGGUGAGCCAGAGAUGGCAGUCUGCACAAGACGGAGAGACAGAUGCCAACAGUCUGGCAUUGAAGGAGGAAGAGAGGGAAUAUUUUGAGAACGGAGUCAAGGAAGAACUACAAAGAAGGUUUUGGAAAUAAAAAGUGUCACCUAGGCAGCUGUUCUUCAGAAUAGGGGGAGAAAUGGGGGUGGGGGGGAGACAGCAGGAGGGGUGGGCAGGGAAGACAGCUUAGGCCUCUGCCAGCUGAGGUGGGUAGAGCUGAGGCCAUCACCAUCCUACCAGUUCACAAGUCCCGUCCUGUAAGAGCUUACUGCUGUAGCCCCUGCUCUUUACACCUUUUUUUUCCCUCUUGGGUCAAAGUGCCUUAACCCAGAGAGUCAGCGACCCUGAGAGGACUGCCUGGAGCAGACACACCCUCUGCCAGGACACAGGCCCUCUUCCCCGAAAGCCAAGCCUCCUCUUCGAUUCAGGUUUUCCUGGCAAAGUCCCACCUUGGAGCUGAUGAGUAGUCCAGUGACGUCAGAGGAAAUACCCCAUUUGACAAAGGACCCUGCUAUAGUUGCCAGUAAACUGAGCUUAUUAGCAUGUCCUGAUCUGGGUCUUAGGAUUUGAUGAGUCCUAAAAAUAAACUCAGAGAGAAAUAGCUGUUGCACCAAAGUGAAUGUUUUUACUCUGGAUCUGAGAAUGUCUUUUUAUUUAUUUAUUUUUAAAUUAAUUUUUUGUCCUUAGGGCCACGCCUGUGGCAUGUGGCAAUUCCCAGGCUAGGGAUCUAAUCUGAGCUGCAGCUGCUGGCCUACGCCACAGCCACAGCAACACAGGAUCCUAGCUGUGUCUGUGACCUACACUGAAGCUCAUGGCAAGGCUGGAUCCUUAACCCACUGAGCGAGGCCAGGGAUCCAACCUGUGUCCUUGUGGAUGCUAGUCAGAUUUGUUUCCACUGGGCUACAACGGCAACUCCUGGGCCAGUUUUAGAUGCAUACACAAAUGUGGGGAGGUCUACAAUCUCCUACCAAUCUCUUGGUGUAAAUGAGACAGAAAUUCUACCCCUAGAUAUUCACUCCUUUGAGUUUCUUAACUUUUUGGUUUUGAAUGCCCUUAUUAAGAUGCAAAUGCAGUAUUGAGAGGAUAGCCCUUGCCUGAGAAGGAAUCACCUAAUUUCUUAGGAGGAAUUUGUGUUCUGUCAAUUCCAGCCAAAUUAGCACUAGGGCUCUGUGGGGGAAAGAUCCAGGACAGGCAUCCUGGAGAUGGAGAAUGGGCAGAGGCCUUGGAAAUUAUGAGUAGGGAAGCCGGCAGGAGUCAUGAAAGAGGCCAGAGACAAGAAGAUCCGCCCCUCAACAUAAGUCAGAGUUCGUGUAAGCAGCUGAAAGCCAAGCUCAUCCUAACUUUUUGUGAAACUUUCUCUCUGCUCCCAUCUUUUAGCAGGGAAAGCCAUUUGGGGCACAGCCAGAGGGCAGUGGGGAAGGUCAGAGGAUUUGCAGAUAUUCAGGGCCAUGACCAUGGUCUCCCAGGGCAAAGAGGCCAAGGUUGUGGGCUUCUCUCCAGACCAGUUUGCUACUCUCAGCUGUAGAUCUCUCCUACAGCUCUGAACUGCACUCCCAGGUCCAGCCAAUCAUCUAAAAAAUUCAUGAUGCUGUUCACAAGGGCCUGGGUGGAGAAUGUGGGGAUGGCUCCGUGCAAACUCACCCUGACCGAGGGCAGACAGAUCCUAGGUAAUAUUCUUGCUUGUGUGUAUAUGGGGGGGGGCACUUCAUAAGAAGAAUAAAACAUAGCGUGACUUUUUGUUGUUAUUAAAUAUAAGCUGAAACUGUAUUUCUUAAAGUUUGUAUGAGUAGAAAUUGCUUUAUUGUACCCUCAUCCCUAGAGAGGGAGAAGGUCUGAUUCUGAGGUCUUCUGCAGGAGACAGCCUGUGAACACAUGCCUGUUAGAUACCCCAAGAGCUGCACAGAAAUUUCAAAGGGAUGCCCAGUACCUACCAGAGGGUGUUAUACCUUCGAGGAGAUAUUUUGUACAAUCACACAUGAGAUUUUCAAGUGAAAUCCUGGGGGACUAUACAUAAACCAGACAAGAAGCACAGUAUAAUGGUUAAAAGCAUGGAUUCAGGAGCCAGGGAAUUUGGGUUCAGAUCCUAGCACUUUUUAGCUGUGUGACCUUAGGCAAGUCACUUAAUCUCUCUGGGCCUUAGUUUCCUCAUCCAUAAAACUCAGAUAAUAGUACUUCUCAGUUCACAGGGUUGUUGUAAGGAUUAAAACGAGUUAAUAUUUAAAGGGUUGAAUGAGUUACUAUUUAAGUGUUACAUGUAAAAAGUAACAUAAUCAGGAGUUUCUGUGGUGGUGCAGCAGAAAUGAAUCUUCCUAGGAACGAUGAGGUUGCCGGUUCUAUCCCUUGCCUUGCUCAGUGGGUUAAGGAUCUGGUGUGGUAGUGAGCUGUGGUGUAGGUCUCAGACGCGGCUCGGAUCUGGCAUUGCUGUGGCUGUGGUAUAGGCCAGCAGCUAUAGUUCCCAUUUGACCCCUUAGCCUAGGGACCCCCAUAUGCCUCAGGUACGGCCCUUAAAAAAAAACAAAACAAAGCAAAAGUAACAUAAUCAAGUCUCUAGGCCUGGAAACCUCAGUUGAUUCUAUGAUUGACCCUGUCUCCAGGAAGGCCUUUGGUUGGCUCUGGCCUGUACUUACCCUCCAAUUUCACCAGCAUGAGGAGGCAGAAGAUACCCGGGAAACUUUCAUCUCCAGGCUUCCCCUUGAGCAUUAGGCAAGGCACUUCUCUGAAGUCUUGCAAGCCAGAACCAACAACAGGGAGCUCUGUCUGGUGCCCAGGCUUGAAAUGGGAAUCCCUCAUUGCAAACCCCUCAGUGCCUUGGUGGGCUCCCUGCUUGUGCUCUCACUAAAUGCUUCACCAAGCCAAGGUUACAGAACACAAGGAAAAGCCCUAAGUGAGAAAGCUAAGAAGAGCAAAGAAACUAGCAGGUGGCAGGAAGAAGGAUCACAGCAAGAGGAAACCCAACACACAACGAAAAAAGUAGAAAAGCUGAAGGAAGUGCAAGGAAACUUUUUUUGUUUCUCUAUUUUUGACCCAGUGAAAAACACAAACACUAGCGAAUAAACUGAGCAACAGAAUCAGGCUGAGCCAGUGAAGGGAGGGACCAGGCAGCGGAACAGCAAAUACAUGCUCAUUACCUCACCCUUCCUCCUGUGACCUGCAAGCAUGGCCCCAGGGCCAUUCGUUUCACAGCCUAAUAAUGAUUUCAUUUCACAGACUUCCUUCCACUUUUUUUUUUCUUAAUAAAAGUCCAUCACAGCUCUGUUUGGGGAAUCAGAAACAGUAUCUGUCUUUAGGAAAUUUAACUGCCAACAGAGCUCAGAUAAGCAUAAUUGAGAAGUAAAGAAUAGUUGGUGUGACCAGGACAAAUAUCAAAUCACAAAUAUUUGAAAUUCUUCUCUUUCCCGGCUCUAAGUAGAGAAGUGCCUUUGUUUGCUGAAUUGGCUCACAGACGCCUUGGCUUCUGUGUUGUGUAGGAUGUUGAAUGGGGAGGAGAAACCAGACGAAGGUCAAAUAUUUGUCAAAUGCUAACUGUGUAUCAGGUAUUCUGCUAAAUGCCAGAAAUUCAACAGUAAACAAAACACACAAGCCCUUGUCCUCAUGAAGCUAACACUUUUUUUACUUUUUAAAUUACAUAUAAAGUUACCAUCUUAGCUGUUUUUAAGUGAAUGUUUCAAUAGUGUUAAGUGUGUUUCUCCUGUGAUGGAAUCUCUAGAAUUUUUCCAUCUUGCAAAACUGAAACUCUGUGCCUAUUAAACAAUUCCCAUUUCCCCUUCUUCUAGGCUCAGGAUACCAAUAUUCUACUUUGCAUUUCUGUGAAUUUGCUUACUCUGGAUUCAUGUGGAAUCAUAGUGGUAUUUGCCUUUUUGUGACCAGCUCAUUUUACUUAGCAUAAUAUCCUCAAAGUUUCUCCAUAUUUAGCAUGUAUUGAAAUUUCCCUAGCUGUUUAGGGCUGAAUAAUAUUCCACUGUGUGUAUAGGCCACAUUUUGUUUAUCCAUUCAUCCUUGGAUAGACAUGUGGGUUGCUUCCAUUUCUUGGCUAUUGUGAAUAAUGCUGCUGUGAACAUGGGUGUAAAGUAUCUCCUUGAAUUAACACUCUUUUAAAGAGUUUAUUCCAUCAUAUUUGGGUUCCUUAUUUGCCCAUUAGUUGGCCCAAUUCGAUGGGUAAAUGCACAAGGAUCUGUGUUAUCUUUGCAUUCCAACUUCCUAUACAGUCCUAACACAUAGUAGGAACUCAAUAAAUAUUUGUUGAACAAAAUAAUUUAUUUUUACACUUCUUAGUCACUACUGCUGCAGCUGGCUAUUUUACAUAUUUUAAUAAAUAAGUUUU